rnacentral:rRNA from 1 species
AUACGGAGGGUGCAAGCGUUAUCCGGAAUCAUUGGGUUUAAAGGGUCCGUAGGCGGGCAAUUAAGUCAGAGGUGAAAUCCCACAGCUCAACUGUGGAACUGCCUUUGAUACUGGUUGUCUUGAGUUAUAGUGAAGUAGAUAGAAUGUGUAGUGUAGCGGUGAAAUGCAUAGAUAUUACACAGAAUACCGAUUGCGAAGGCAGUCUACUAACCGUUGACUGACGCUAAUGGACGAAAGCGUGGGGAGCGAACAGGAUUAGAAACCCCAGUAGUCC